rnacentral:rRNA from 1 species
GACGAACGCUGGCGGCGUGCUUAACACAUGCAGGUCGAACGGAAAGGCCCUGCUUUUGUGGGGUGCUCGAGUGGCGAACGGGUGAGUAACACGUGAGUAACCUGCCCUUGACUUUGGGAUAACUUCAGGAAACUGGGGCUAAUACCGGAUAGGAGCUCCUGCUGCAUGGUGGGGGUUGGAAAGUUUCGGCGGUUGGGGAUGGACUCGCGGCUUAUCAGCUUGUUGGUGGGGUAGUGGCUUACCAAGGCUUUGACGGGUAGCCGGCCUGAGAGGGUGACCGGCCACAUUGGUACUGAGAUACGGCCCAGACUCCUACGGGAGGCAGCAGUGGGGAAUAUUGCACAAUGGGCGGAAGCCUGAUGCAGCAACGCCGCGUGCGGGAUGACGGCCUUCGGGUUGUAAACCGCUUUCGCCUGUGACGAAGCGUGAGUGACGGUAAUGGGUAAAGAAGCACCGGCUAACUACGUG